rnacentral:rRNA from 1 species
UACGUAGGUGGCGAGCGUUGUCCGGAUUUAUUGGGCGUAAAGCGCGCGCAGGCGGUGAGGUAAGUCCGUCGUGAAAUCUCCCGGCUCAACUGGGAGGGUGCGGGGGAGACUGCCUGACUGGAGGCACUCAGAGGGCGGUGGAAUUCCCGGUGGAGUGGUGAAAUGCGUAGAGAUCGGGAGGAACACCAGUGGCGAAGGCGGCCGGCUGGGGGUGACCUGACGCUGAGGCGCGAAAGCGUGGGGAGCGAACAGG